UGGUGGGUAGUUUGACUGGGGCGGUCUCCUCCUAAAGAGUAACGGAGGAGCACGAAGGUUGGCUAAUCCUGGUCGGACAUCAGGAGGUUAGUGCAAUGGCAUAAGCCAGCUUGACUGCGAGCGUGACGGCGCGAGCAGGUGCGAAAGCAGGUCAUAGUGAUCCGGUGGUUCUGAAUGGAAGGGCCAUCGCUCAACGGAUAAAAGGUACUCCGGGGAUAACAGGCUGAUACCGCCCAAGAGUUCAUAUCGACGGCGGUGUUUGGCACCUCGAUGUCGGCUCAUCACAUCCUGGGGCUGAAGUAGGUCCCAAGGGUAUGGCUGUUCGCCAUUUAAAGUGGUACGCGAGCUGGGUUUAGAACGUCGUGAGACAGUUCGGUCCCUAUCUGCCGUGGGCGCUGGAGAACUGAGGGGGGCUGCUCCUAGUACGAGAGGACCGGAGUGGACGCAUCACUGGUGUUCGGGUUGUCAUGCCAAUGGCACUGCCCGGUAGCUAAAUGCGGAAGAGAUAAGUGCUGAAAGCAUCUAAGCACGAAACUUGCCCCGAGAUGAGUUCUCCCUGAGACUUUAGGUCUCCUGAAGGAACGUUGAAGACGACGACGUUGAUAGGCCGGGUGUGUAAGCGCAGCGAUGC
rnacentral:rRNA from 1 species